UACGAAGGUCCCAAGCGUUGUUCGGAAUCACUGGGCGUAAAGAGUGCGUAGGCGGCGCGGAAAGUCAGAUGUGAAAUCCCGGGGCUCAACCUCGGAACGGCAUCCGAUACUCCCGCGCUUGAGGACUGGAGGGGAGUCUGGAAUUCACGGUGUAGCAGUGAAAUGCGUAGAUAUCGUGAGGAACACUAGUGGCGAAGGCGAGACUCUGGACAGUUCCUGACGCUGAGGCACGAAGGCCAGGGGAGCGAAGGGGAUUAGAUACCCCCGUAGUCCUGGCAGUAAACGGUGCUCGCUUGGUAUGCGCGGUUUCGACCCCGUGCGUGCCGGAGCUAACGCGUUAAGCGAGCCGCCUGGGAAGUACGGUCGCAAGAUUAAA
rnacentral:rRNA from 1 species